CUGACUCUGUCUGGGCAUUCUUCCUGGGCUAGAGAUGCUCUGCCUCCCAGCAGAAGACAAGAGCCCUAGAAAGACUGUCAUUCAUUUACUGGAGAGAGAAAUUGUUCAUCUACACACACACUCAGAGCCUGGCUAGCUACAAAGCCGUGGUCCGUGGUAGGAUGUGCGUCUUAGUGGAAUAAGUAACCUUGAGCAGACAAUGGAUCCAGCAGUAACAAGCCUCCCCUGAUGCCGGCGUAAAUUCCGAAGGAGCUGGAGAACGAUUCUUCCCUUCACUUUAUCUAAAUCCUCUGAAGGAUGAGUGGGAGGAUGGUUUCUUCUCCCUUCCUGAAGGUUGUUUUGUUGGUGCCUUAUGCUAAGAGAACUCAGCAGAUACAAAUUUAUUAUUUUCUUUUAGACAGCAUUUUCCCUGCAGUUAGAAGAAAACCGCAGCUCACAUUGAAAAAUAUCUAAUUCCCAAAAUACAUGAUUCCAAUAGGGAGUUUAUAGAAUUUGCUUCUUACCAAAGAAAAAUCUUGAAUACAUGAAAUCUAAAAUCUUGCCAAUUUAAUGAAUGCCUAAUAAUUUUUAAAUAGCAUAUAUCAUUUUAAUACAUUAAACAGUUGGAAGAUUGUUGAGGGAUAAUUUGUCAAUUUUUUAUUAAAAAGAAAAUGCAUAAAAAUUAAAUAUUCUACAUUUAUUUUAUAUUAUUAUCUUGGCAGUUUUAUUUUUUAUGUCAAAAUUCUGAGUCUGUUAUAUUAUCCAAAUCCUAAAAAGAUUUAAUUGAUUACAGAAAAAUUUAUUGGGAAAAAUUGCUUUGCCCCUCUUUUUUCUCUAAGCAAUUCCUGAGUUUUAAAAAUAUUCCUUAAAGGAACUAAUUUAUUUUUCAUGGCCCAUCACCAAUAUCCAAGAGAGUAUCCAAUUUUUAAAUUCUGAACCCUGUCUUGUGUGACUUCCAAACUAAAUGAAAUGAAGAGGCCUCAGGCAGUCUGUGUUUACACAGGGUGGCAAAAUUAACCUUAAGUUACUUGGAUCACUGCACUGGGGACACUUCAGAGCCUCUACUCAGGCUACUUUUGAGCAUACUAUGUAUGUCGCUGUGCAGAAGCCUACCUCUUUCACUCUAGAUAAAACAAGACUUUCUGAGCACUUACUCUGAGCAAAGCACGGUGCCGGAAGUACAAAGGUGGAUAAGACUCAGUCCUUGAUUUGAUGGUCUUUGUUGGAAUAGGUUUUCAAACUGUAAUGUCACUGUGUCUCCCAGGGGCCAAAAGUUUGCUUUUAUUGAUGGGUUUCAAAGUAGGGAUGAGUUUACUUAUAAGUACACAUUGUGUCAUUAGUAUGCUUGACUCUCCAUGGUGCAAAAUUUCUUUCUAAUGCUGAUCAAUUGCAAACAUGAUAGAACAAUGAAAUACUUCCAGGACAUUCUAAAUCACUCUCCUCCUUGUGAGAAAAUAGGGUAGAGAGCCUAGCCUGGUACAGGCAGCCAUCCAUGUCUGAUGCGGGUCAUCUCUGAGAAUGACACUCCUCAAAGGGCCAGAGGGUGCUCUUUCUUCAUUUCCCUUACACAUGGGUGUUAUUCAAUACUUAUCUACAGCCAUGUGUCACUUAACAACUGGAAUAUGUUCCAAGAAAUCUGUCAUUAGGCUAUUUUGUAAUUGUGUGAUCAUAGAGUGUACUUACACAAACCUAGGGUGGUAUAGUUCACUGUACCACCAAGGCCAUAUAGUGUAGCCUAGGCUACAAUAUACCUAGGCUAUAUAGUAUAGCCUGUAGCUCCUAGGCUACAAACCUGGACAGUAUGUUACUGCACUGAGUACUGUAGCAAUUGUUACACAGUGGUAACUAUUUGUGUAUCUAAACAUAUCUAAACAUAGAAAAGAUACAGUAAAAAUACAGCAGUAUAAUCUUAUGGGACCACCAUUGUAUAUGUGGUCCAUCGUUGAUGGAAACAUUGUUAUGCGGCACAUGACUGUAUAUGCUUCGUAUAUAGUGAACAUUCAGCAAAGGUUUUCAUCAAUGAAUGGAUAAAUUGGCAACUUUUAUGGGCUUAAUUGGGCUAAAAUAUAUACGGAGUCACUAUUUGACUUAACACCUAGACAUUAUUUUACUGAUAUUUUUCAAUAAUUCUGUUUUUGUAAAGCCUUCCUUCCAUUUGGGUGCAAUUUCCACUUGGGGAAAAUCUCCUCAUUCCCCAUCCUCUUGUAAUUAAAAAGCAUGGUUGGUUUGUUUU
rnacentral:lncRNA from 1 species